AGAUUGAACGCUGGCGGCAGGCCUAACACAUGCAAGUCGAGCGGCAGCACGGGUACUUGUACCUGGUGGCGAGCGGCGGACGGGUGAGUAAUGCCUAGGAAUCUGCCUGGUAGUGGGGGAUAACGCUCGGAAACGGACGCUAAUACCGCAUACGUCCUACGGGAGAAAGCAGGGGACCUUCGGGCCUUGCGCUAUCAGAUGAGCCUAGGUCGGAUUAGCUAGUUGGUGGGGUAAUGGCUCACCAAGGCGACGAUCCGUAACUGGUCUGAGAGGAUGAUCAGUCACGCUGGAACUGAGACACGGUCCAGACUCCUACGGGAGGCAGCAGUGGGAAUAUUGGACAAUGGGCGAAAGCCUGAUCCAGCCAUGCCGCGUGUGUGAAGAAGGUCUUUCGGAUUGGUAAAAGCUAACUUUAAAGUUGGGAAGGAAAGGGCUAAGGUUUACCUAAAUACGUAUCUGUUUUGACGUUACGACAGAAUAAGCACCGGCUAAACUCUGUGCCAGCACG
rnacentral:rRNA from 1 species